CACGUAGGGUGCGAGCGUUGUCCGGAAUUAUUGGGCGUAAAGCGCACGUAGGCGGCAUUGCAAGUCGGAUGUGAAAUCCCUCGGCUUAACCAAGGAAGUGCAUCCGAAACUGCAGUGCUUGAGUACUUAAGAGGAUCGCGGAAUUCCCGGUGUAGAGGUGAAAUUCGUAGAUAUCGGGAGGAACACCAGUGGCGAAGGCGGUCUCCUGGGGCAUUCUUGACGCUGAGGCGCGAAAGCUGGGGGAGCGAACGGG
rnacentral:rRNA from 1 species